rnacentral:rRNA from 1 species
AUACGUAGGUGGCAAGCGUUGUCCGGAUUUACUGGGUGUAAAGGGCGUGUAGGCGGAGAUGCAAGUCAGGAGUGAAAUCUGGGGGCUCAACCCCUAAACUGCUUUUGAAACUGUAUCCCUUGAGUAUCGGAGAGGCAGGCGGAAUUCCUAGUGUAGCGGUGAAAUGCGCAGAUAUUAGGAGGAACACCAGUGGCGAAGGCGGCCUGCUGGACGACAACUGACGCUGAGGCGCGCAAGCGUGGGGAACAAACAGGAUUAGAUACCCUGGUAGUCCACGCUGUAAACGAUGAAUACUAGGUGUGGGGGGACUGACCCCCUCCGUGCCGUAGUUAACACAAUAAGUAUUCCACCUGGGGAGUACGAUCGCAAGAUUGAAACUCAAAGGAAUUGACGGGG